rnacentral:piRNA from 1 species
UGGGUUCCUAACUGAUGUAAAAUGUAGA